rnacentral:tRNA from 1 species
CAUUAGGUGGCUGAAAGUAAGUAAUGGUCUCUUAAACCAACCCAUAGUAUUUAACGUUUACUUCUAAUGG